GUGAUGAACAGUUGCUCCUAACGUUCGAGCGUAAGGUCCUUCGUACUAUUUUCGGAGCGAUGCGUGAAGGCGAAAGGUGGCGGCGACGAUACAACUUUGAAUUGAAACGUGAUUUUGGCGAGCCGGAUAUUGUGGCAGUGGUGAAAGUCCAACGGUUGAGGUGGGCAGGACAUGUAGCACGCAUGGACAGGAACAGAGCCCCCUCAAUGUUAUUCCGAAAUGAUCCAGAAGGGCGAAGAGGAGUAGGACGCCCUAAAAUGCGAUGGAUAGAUGGCGUCGAAUCAGAUCUUCGGGCGCUGGGAAUAAGAGGCCAAGGCCCACAAGUGGCUCCAAUCGGAAG